rnacentral:rRNA from 1 species
AAUAAGAUACCCCGGUAGUCCACGCCGUAAACGAUGAGUGCUAAGUGUUAGGGGGGUUUCCGCCCCUUAGUGCUGCAGCUAACGCAUUAAGCACUCCGCCUGGGGAGUACGGUCGCAAGACUGAAACUCAAAGGAAUUGACGGGGGCCCGCACAAGCGGUGGAGCAUGUGGUUUAAUUCGAAGCAACGCGAAGAACCUUACCAGGUCUUGACAUCCCAUUGACCACUAUGGAGACAUAGUUUUCCCUUCGGGGACAACGGUGACAGGUGGUGCAUGGUUGUCGUCAGCUCGUGUCGUGAGAUGUUGGGUUAAGUCCCGCAACGAGCGCAACCCUUGUUCUUAGUUGCCAUCAUUUAGUUGGGCACUCUAAGGAGACUGCCGGUGACAAACCGGAGGAAGGUGGGGAUGACGUCAAAUCAUCAUGCCCCUUAUGACCUGGGCUACACACGUGCUACAAUGGACGGUACAAACGGUUGCCAACCCGCGAGGGGGAGCUAAUCCGAUAAAACCGUUCUCAGUUCGGAUUGUAGGCUGCAACUCGCCUACAUGAAGGACC